UCAGAGCCUGUUCUGCUGGGACACAGAAUCACUUGCUCCAUCUCAUACAUUGAUGAUGAUUAAUUUGUAUGUGUACCUUCCAAAAAAGAUGGUUGUGUUUGAAUGGAGGCCUUCUGGACAGGAAAAUUGCAAAGUACAAUUAACAUUUGAGUCUGUCUGAGUCAUGAAGAAAUGGAGAUUACUGAAAAUAAUUCAUUUUGGUAUCUUCUUACAUCCUGAGAGACUAAUCUUUCCAAGUUCAUCUGAGGCUCCUCUUCUCCAUGACAACCUCAUCCAGGGAUUUCUUCCUGUCCUGGUGUUUUAUGACAUGUGGAAGGGGACUGUAGCAGGUGAUCUCCAAAGUCUCUGGAGACUUACUAAUGUGCAUCCUCAUCUCGCUUGUAAGGAUAAUAGCCUUCCUCCAAACCUCACACACUUUUGGAGGAGAUCACUUUUUUUAAAGUGCAUGGAAAUGUUUUGAAACAGUGAAAUCUAUAAUGAUAGGUUUCAUAAUUCUAACAUCCACACCAUAUGAAUCACAUCCUUCCUGAGAUAAUGAGCACACAAUUGCCUGGAUACCUGAAGGAAUGGAGACAGCGGCAGAAAACACUGCAGAGAGGUGGAAACAUCCGUUAAUAUUUUAAAAUCCCAUUACUGCUACCAACAAUAAUAAUGGAUGCAUAGAAAUAGAUCUGGAUUAGCUGAGCUUGAAACAGUCCAUCUCACACACACACAAAAGAAUUUCAGAUACAGUGAACCCACAUGUUGAAGCUUUCUAGUAUAAUAAAAAUUUCAACUGUUCUGUUGAAUCAUCUGCCUGAUUGGAGGCUACAGAAAAGAUGUCAUCUUAGGAGUGCUUGCUCUGAGUGAGGCUCAUCUUCAAAUCUGAAUGACCACAAGGAGAUUUGAUUAUACAUGUGAACACCUCAGAAGGCACAGCCCACCCAGAAGGCAGACAGGUCAGGCUGCUUUUUCUUCAUUGCUUGGAUUCAAUCCUCCGGGCGGCUCAGGCUCAAACAUAACUUAAGCAUGAUUAAACUUUAGAAGAAGCUGCCAGGAAGACUGUGAAAUCUUCAUGCCCAAGGAUCCCUAAAAUUAGGAGCAACAACCACUUGGCUCAGACGGUUUAUGGAGGCAAAGGUUUGGAUGGGAUUAGAGAUUUCUAAAUGUGAGUUCGUGUCCUCUGCCAGACCACCUUACUUCCACCAUUCCUCAGCAAAUCAAGAAAAACAGGAGAAAAGACAUGCCUUUCCAUAAGUUAAAUCUAUUCUGUUUUAAUUCUAUAUUAUAUCUGCUGUACAACUUCUUUUGUUUGUAACACCAUAUUGUUGCUAGUAACUGGAAAUUAAUUUUCACAUGCCUCAGCUUAGAAAAAUAAAAAGCAGCCCUGCAUCAAUCCCAA
ensembl:lncRNA LINC00635 long intergenic non-protein coding RNA 635